UACGAGGGGGGCGAGCGUUGUUCGGAAUUAUUGGGCGUAAAGGGCGCGUAGGCGGUUUGAUAAGUCUUGUGUGAAAUCUUCGGGCUCAACUCGAAGUCUGCACGAGAAACUAUCUGGCUUGAGUGUGGGAGAGGUGAGUGGAAUUCCUGGUGUAGCGGUGAAAUGCGUAGAUAUCAGGAGGAACACCUGUGGCGAAAGCGGCUCACUGGACCACAACUGACGCUGAGGCGCGAAAGCGAGGGGAGCAAACAGG
rnacentral:rRNA from 1 species